AAUUCCAGCUCCAAUAGCGAAUAUUAAAGUUGUUGCCGUUAAAAAGCUCGUAGUUGAACCUUGGACCUGGCUGAUCUGUCCUCCUAAUCGAGCGCACGGAUUCGGUCGGGUCUUUCCUUCUGGGGAGCCCUAUGCCCUUCACUGGGUGUAGUGGGGAACCAGGACUUUUACCUUGAAAAAAUUAGAGUGUUCAAAGCAGGCCUUUGCUCGAAUACAUUAGCAUGGAAUAAUAGAAUAGGACAUCGGUUCUAUUUUGUUGGUUUCUAGGACCGCUGUAAUGAUUAAUAGGGAUAGUCGGGGGCGUCAGUAUUCAAUUGUCAGAGGUGAAAUUCUUGGAUUUAUUGAAGACUAACUACUGCGAAAGCAUUCGCCAAGGAUGUUUUCAUUAAUCAGUGAACGAAAGUUAGGGGAUCGAAGACGAUCAGAUACCGUCGUAGUCUUAACCAUAAACUAUGCCGACUAGGGAUCGGACGGUGGUUUUUUUAUGCCCCGUUCGGCACCUUACGAGAAAUCAAAGUUUUUGGGCUCGGGGGGGAGU
rnacentral:rRNA from 1 species